GACAGAGGGUGCAAACGUUGUUCGGAAUUACUGGGCGUAAAGCGCGUGUAGGCUGUUCGGCAAGUCGGAUGUGAAAGCCCUGGGCUCAACUCAGGAAGUGCAUUCGAAACUGCCGAGCUGGAGUCCUGGAGAGGAAGGCGGAAUUCUCGGUGUAGAGGUGAAAUUCGUAGAUAUCGAGAGGAACACCGGUGGCGAAGGCGGCCUUCUGGACAGUGACUGACGCUGAGACGCGAAAGCGUGGGGAGCAAACAGG
rnacentral:rRNA from 1 species